rnacentral:rRNA from 1 species
UACGGAGGGUGCAGGCGUUAUCCGGAUUUACUGGGUUUAAAGGGUGCGUAGGCGGUUUUUUAAGUCAGUGCUGAAAUACUCCAGCUUAACUGGAGGGGUGGCAUUGAUACUGGAAGACUUGAGUACAGAUGAGGUAGGCGGAAUUGACGGUGUAGCGGUGAAAUGCAUAGAUAUCGUCAAGAACACCGAUAGCGAAGGCAGCUUACUGGGCUGUAACUGACGCUGAUGCACGAAAGUGUGGGGAUCAAACAGG